AAAAUGUUCCUUAGCAAACCUUUUAAUACGUGCAUUCUGUUUUGUAGUUUGGAAGAGAGUUCCUUCCAGUUUCUUUGCACUGCUAAUGGUUAAAGUGUCUGGUAGUCUGUUUCAGGUCUUUGUGAUUUUUCUUGUAAUCAAACACUGACAGCUAAGUGGUUCUAUUUUUGACGUAUUCUGCCAUUUUUCUAAUGGAGAUUUGUCUUAAGAAUCCACCAUAAUUUCUACUGUUUUGUCUUUACUAAAGCAUUGCAUUGAUCAAUAUAAAUCUACAGAUAUUUUUGUUAAUUGGAGUGAACACUUCUGUGAUACUGUGAUAUCGUGUUAACUCUCUUUGGGUAGAAACAGUAGUAAGAACAGUCCUAGCAUUCUUAUAGCUGCAGCGUGUUGAAUUAUAAGCCUUAGAUACCUAAUGAUGGUGGUAUGCAUUUCUGAAACUUGUGUAGGUGCUUUGUUUUGUUGUCCCUUGUGAAAUCUUUCUGUCAUCUUAUUGUAUGCAUUCAUGCAUUAACUUAGCACAGAGUUUGCCUGUGUAGUGUACUUUUUGUGUUCUUUGCUGUAUUGUCAAGUUUCUGGGCUUAGCUCUUAGCCUCAGUAGCACUUCUCAGUUGUCCUUUGCUCAUCCUCUAGUCAGUGUCCAAGUCUUACCAAACUCCUUGGCUGGAUCCACUAGUCUCUGCCGUGUUCAGCUCCUUCUCUGGUGCAUAUCUGUAUGCGCACUCUCUGCUCUGCAUUUCUGAUGUUCCUGUGUAUGAGUAAGAGUUGCUGCUUUACUUUGUACUCCUCUCUCACUGGCACUAUUAAGAGCAUGUUCUCCAUUUAAUCUGGUGGCAAUAUAUACAGCAAAAUCCCUGGAGCAUGAUGACUGCAGGUUCUUGGGCAGCAGGACGUGUUGGAUCCAAAGUUGCGGAGGCCAUUGGGAGACCAGUGUCAGAGCCUUCCUCAGCCAUUGCAGCAGAGCAUGUGAUGAGCAGGAAAUAAGUGUGCAGGAAGCGCUGGGCUGAGGUUGCGUUGCAGCUCUUGGAUCUGUAAGCAAGCACACUGCAAACCCAGCUGGCUGGAUACUGGAAGGGUUGGAACUGCUCACUGCCUCCGGCUCUCAGCGUCUUUCUGUCUCUUCAGUACCUGAAACAGCAGGAAUUGCAGAUUUUUGCUGCCUUUCCUUUGGGCUGGAGCUCUCUGCCACUGAACAUUGUUGCCUGAAGAUCCUAAAAUAUAAAGAACAAAUCAAAAUGUCUUGAUGGUCAAAGAAAGCGCCUAUGGAUUGGAAGAGGUCACUGAACCCAAUUCUGUAUCCAGAGGUGCGUCUAAUACUGUUGUGUGACACCAAUAGACAAUGAAAGGAGAAUGACAACAUGCUGCUGUGAUGAGCAGGAGAAGAAUAGAUGAGCCUGGCUAAGAGAAACAAUAGGACAGGUAUACAAACAUCUUCUGGCUACCCGUUGCCUCUCUGUCAAAGGGGAGAGCUAGCUGGGAUUCCAGUUCUCCACUGGCUGGGAACACUUGUAAACUGAACAGUAUUAUUUUUUUCUUAUACAGCAAUGUUGGUACCAGGAAGAAUCGAAGCAAACUCCAUUUAGGUGAGAAAACAGCUGGUUGAACUCUGGAGAGACUUACUUUCCAGACAGCUAAGAUCAGACAGCAGAGGAGAGGGCAGUGCCAGAUGAACAUGUUGAAGUUACUUGUAGGGGAAGGGAAGGAAUUCCCUCCUUGGGUGACUGAUUAUCCAAAAGGACUGGCAGCUCCUGGAAAUGGUACUGUAGGAGCCAGGACAUCAUUUCUGAGAUGUUAAAGAUGACAUGAGCCCCAGCAAUGCAGCACUGUUUCUUCCCUGAAGUAGGUUAUCAUUUAUGUCUCAGCAUGCAACUUGAAGAAAAGGGGGAGGAAAAAGUUAGCAGUGAGUUUUGUGUUUAUGCCUUGCAGAUUUAGCUCUAUCUCUUGAGCUAGGCUAUCAAUUGUUUAGGCCUCAACUUAAGUAAGAAGUAUAGCACAGCCCUGACAGUAAAGAAAUUAAAGUUCUUAAAUGUGUUUAAAUCCAUAUCAGCAACAUCUUAACUUUCACUGGAACUCUAUCUAGAAAUGAGUUUCCGUGGAUGAGUAGUUAGAAUGAAGUCUUAUAUGCAUAAUACAUCCUUGCAUACUCUUACUUAUCAGAACGUAUUUGUAUGUAACUGUUGAGUAAUCUAUUUGCUGGUCCUGCACAGAGAACUUACAGCAAAUUUAGUGAAUCAUAAAUAUCAUAAGUUUUAUUUAAAUUGUUUUCCUGGGUUUGCAUUCCAAAAUAAAUGUUAGCCAUGACAACGUAUUAAGGAAUUAAUCCUGUUAGAUGUUACUGCAUUCUUCACACUAUUAUGGAGCCCUAGGUUUAGUAUGACUGUUGACUUGGCUGUUUAAUGAAGGACUAUAUUAAUGCAGCUAGUUCCUGAAGAUAGUUAAGGGUUCUGAAGUUAAGGGUUCUAAAAUCAACUGUUUCAUAUUGUGAAAAGUCAUGAAGUUUCUUUUAAAACCUUGUGUGUAGACUAAAGUGUCUCCUGUUUUUAAGUGUAUGUGUAUUGGCUCUGUGUAACUGAAGUUAAUUUCCGCAUUAAGAGCGGAGCAGAACCUAUUUUUGGCUGAAAUAUCCCAAGAGCUUCCUAAAGAUGCUCUGGGAAUGCAGUGCCCCUUUCCUAGCAGUCUCUCUGAUUCAAGUGUCAGUGCAUUGGAAGGAUGGCUUGUGAGAGUCAGGACUACAGAGUAAAGCUUUGACUUUUAUUUUUACCAUGUGUUUCAGAAACCCACCUAAUUGAAAGGAGAGCACUUUGCACUGAAAUUCACGUUAACUGUAACUUCAGCCCACAUCUUACCUAGAUUCUUGUCAACACGUGGUCUCUAGAGAACAGUAACCAUUCUUAGCUUGUCUGGAACUUCAUGCUUGUGUUUGGUGUGCUUGGUUUGUUUUUCUAGAGAGAGAUCACAGAAUCACAGGGGUUGGAAGGGACCUCAAGAGAUCAUUGAGUCCGAACUUCUGUGCCUAUAUGAACGUGGCUAGAAGUAUCAUUAAUGUCCUGCCAGUUUUACCACCUCUUCUAACUCUAUGCAUCUGCCUGAUCUGUAGCAGGAAGACAAAACAAAGCCCAUUUUGAAUUGAACACUAUCACAGCUUUAGCACAGCCGGCGUGUGAGAUGGAGCCAUCACUGCACAGUCUGUCUGGUCCUGGCUCGUUCCUAUAUUUAUCUGCAAAGGGUAGGGGGGGGGGAGACGUACAGAAGGAAAAGAGCAAGAAAAACAGAAGAGAAGUAAUUGGCUUCUGUGACUGUCACCUCCCACAUACGCUGAGAGCAAGAACCCCUGACAGGUUUUUGCACUGACAUGCAACACAGACUGCUGUUUCCAGGACAAGACUGUCGGGCAAGGAAGGCUUUAGUUUUUUAGUUUCUGUUUUAGUGUAUUACAGCUUAACUUAUCUACCCACCAUUUUACAGAAAGUUAUCUGGAAAAUGACACAAACUGCUGUGAGUAAUACGUGACAGCGGUUUGAGUGUGCCAGAUGGAUAACAAGGGAAGACAGGGCACAAUGGGAACGGAGUAAGUUCCUUUAUACUGGUUAAGAACCCAGUGAGUGGGGAAUCCGGCUCAUUUUUGAACAGGAAAUCGACCUUUUUGCUGGAAUCAAUUGUUUUUUUUGUUUGCUUGCUUUUCUUAAGUAUUUUCACUUCACUAUUGAAAUAUUCUGAAAAAUAUUCUUAUUCUGCAACCUCUUAGUUUCAGGCUGUGUUAGGCCCAACAAGGCAUCUCCAUUUUCCCAGGUUACAUACUUAAAAAAAAAAAAAAAAAAAAAAGUGAAAGUAAACUAAUUUCCCACAGAUUCCCAGUAUUCAGUUAGUCAGGAUGUCCUGUGAUAGUAAUGUGAUUUGCUAUAAGUUUGCUAGGAAAAGAUGUGAAGUGCUGGAUAAACAAUGCACUGAUAGAACUGAUGAUGACUGAGAGUCUGUCAGGCUACGAGAUUCACAUCUUUACAAGUUUGUUCUUUUGUUCUUUUAACGUGCUACCAGGUUUAUUUGCUCUUUUCUUCUUUGAUCUUCUGC
ensembl:lncRNA